rnacentral:rRNA from 1 species
AGGACGAACGCUGGCGGCGUGCUUAACACAUGCAAGUCGAGCGGUAAGGCCUUUCGGGGUACACGAGCGGCGAACGGGUGAGUAACACGUGGGUGAUCUGCCCUGCACUUCGGGAUAAGCCUGGGAAACUGGGUCUAAUACCGGAUAUGACCUCCUAUCGCAUGGUGGGUGGUGGAAGGAUUUAUCGGUGCAGGAUGGGCCCGCGGCCUAUCAGCUUGUUGGUGGGGUAAUGGCCUACCAAGGCGACGACGGGUAGCCGACCUGAGAGGGUGACCGGCCACACUGGGACUGAGACACGGCCCAGACUCCUACGGGAGGCAGCAGUGGGGAAUAUUGCACAAUGGGCGAAAGCCUGAUGCAGCGACGCCGCGUGAGGAUGACGGCCUUCGGGUUGUAAACCGUCGUUUCAGCAGGACGAAGCGACAAGUGACGGUACCUGCGAGAAGAGCGACGGCUAACUACGUGCCAGCGAGCCGC